rnacentral:rRNA from 1 species
AUGGAUGUCAGGUCUAUUGUCCUAGCACUGGAUGUCCGGUACACACCGAAAAUCCGGUCCCCGGGCACCAGUGGCUAUGUGAUUUGGGCUGGACUUAUGGUUGGCACCGGUUGUCCCGUGGCUCAAUGUUCCACCAGAUGUCCGGUACUCCACGGGAUGUUCGGUCCCUCCUGCAUCUUCAUGUACAUGACUUUCAAACACUGGAUGUUUGGUACACACCGGAUGUCUGGUCCAUCACCCUGGCUCUGGAUGAGCAUACAAGAAAUCCGGCCAGAACCCAACAGAAGCUAUGUUAUCCGAGCAGGAUGUCCAGUAUGCACCAGAUGUUCGGUAGCUGAAUGCACCACUGGAUGUCCAGUACUUUACCGGAUGUCCGGUCCCCCACUAUGUUCUUUGCCUACGAUGUUCAUAUCGCUGUGCAUGUCUUCCAGCCACCAGGUGUCCAGUGAUACAACGGAUGUUCGGUACUUAACAACCACUUUACACUCAAACGGCUCUAUUCGGAGCUACACUAUAUAUACCCCUCUCCCAUUCCGGGAGUUGGUUGACCACUUCAUUCAAAGCAACCCUAAAACACCCAAGUGCUCCCUCUCACUCCCUCCUUCACCAAAUCUUAGAUCCCGGAGAGAUUUCUGA